GACGAACCGUGCAAACGUUGUUCGGAAUCACUGGGCUUAAAGGGCGCGUAGGCGGUCGACCAAGUCCGGGGUGAAAUCUUUCGGCUUAACCGGAAAAGUGCCUUGGAUACUGGCCGGCUGGAGGGAGGUAGGGGCAGGUGGAACUUCCAGUGGAGCGGUGAAAUGCGUUGAUAUUGGAAGGAACGCCGGUGGCGAAAGCGACCUGCUGGACCUCUUCUGACGCUGAGGCGCGAAAGCUAGGGGAGCAAACGGG
rnacentral:rRNA from 2 species